UACGGAGGGUCCAAGCGUUAUCCGGAAUCAUUGGGUUUAAAGGGUCCGUAGGCGGUUUUGUAAGUCAGUGGUGAAAGCCCAUCGCUCAACGGUGGAGCGGCCAUUGAUACUGCAAGACUUGAAUUAUUGGGAAGCAACUAGAAUAUGUAGUGUAGCGGUGAAAUGCUUAGAGAUUACAUGGAAUACCAAUUGCGAAGGCAGGUUGCUACCAAUACAUUGACGCUGAUGGACGAAAGCGUGGGGAGCGAACAGG
rnacentral:rRNA from 1 species